CUACGGAGGAUGCGAGCGUUAUCCGGAUUUAUUAGGUUUAAAGGGUGUGUAGGCGGUAUUUUAAGUCAGUGGUGAAAUCUCGGAGCUUAACUUCGAAACUGCCAUUGAUACUGGAAUACUUGAGUAUAGUUGAGGUAGGCGGAAUAUGUAAUGUAGCGGUGAAAUGCAUAGAUAUUACAUAGAACACCGAUUGCGAAGGCAGCUUACUAAACUAUUACUGUCGCUGAUGCACGAAAGCGUGGGGAGCGAACAGGAGUAGAAACCCCAGUAGUCC
rnacentral:rRNA from 1 species